UCCGCACUCAAAAUCCCUAGGUCCUCUUUUUCGCCGUCUCUUCUACUGCUUCCGUUUCUUCCCUUCCGCCGUCGAUCGACGGCAUCGCUGCCAUUUGAUCAACGCCACCGGAGCGGUCUCCGCCAUCUUCCGUUAUUACGAAGAGCAUAAUCCUGGUGUUUUGCGUCGGACACGAGACACCUCGGUCAGAGACGUAGCGGGACCCAGGUAUGUUGAGUGGCACGCGGACAGCGGAUGCGACGCACGGCACCAGAAGCAAGCGAAAGGAACGCGACCCGUCGGGCUCGCCUCGGGCUCGAUAUCCAGCGGCUGCAGGGCCCGAGCCGAGUCAGGCUCAUCCUGUACCGGGUCCGGUUGCUGCCGGCGACAACAACCGGCUACUGGCCGGUUGCCUGGCGCAUGAAUUCCUAACCAGAGGAACGCUGCUGGGGAAGCGAUGGGGAAACGAAACGGCCGGCGGGCCGGAGCGGGACACGGCGGGGGGUUCUGCCGAGUCGACUCGGGGCCAGGAACAACCGCCGAGCUCGUACGCGGAGGUGACCUAUUUGCUGAAGGCGGAGGGAGCCCGCAUUCCCGGCGUGGUCAACCCCACCCAACUCGCUCGUUGGCUCGAGAGGUGAAGAAGCCAAAUUGUUGUUUUGUAAUUUUACAAUGCAGUGCAUAGGUUAAAUUUCUUUCUCAUUAUUGCUUUUAA